CCGUGUGUAGAGCAUCAGGAGUUCUCGUUUUUUGGAAACAAUCUUGUUGCAGAAAGUGUACGUCUGCGACACCUGCUGGCUGUUUGAGGAGCCAGCGUAAUAGCGGGGGCCAUUUUUGAAGAGGAGGAACAUCUCACAAUGGCAGGCAGACAACAAAACGAUGGCCAGCAUCAGGAACAGUGAACUCAUCUGCAUGGUGCCAACCCUGAUACCACCAAGAUGGCUGGAUAUUGGCCCACAGCUAGGUGCUAAAAGAGCCUGUGCAAUCCCCACAAUCCUUUUAAUCUUUCAUCAAUCAUGUCGGCAUACCACAAGGCCCCUGAUCCUAUUACCAUAAGGGGGAAAUUGCUAUUCCCACAAAUAGACAAGUUGGCAAUCUGUAGUGAAAGCUUGCUGAAAAGAGGUGGCAGUAAAUGACAGGUUUGAUUGGGCAAUGGAGGAAUCCAAUCAUCCAUAGCCUGAAAAUAGAAUUUGAUAAAAUACAAGUAAACAACUGAAAUGUGUGCUCCUCUUAAAAAGUGCACAGAGAAACAGGACUGGCUGUUCGGUUUUCUUUUUGAAAAUGCAAGUGGUUAUCUUAAGGGAUCUCGGAAAAGGGAACGGUCAGCCUAAUUUUGAAACAUAUUUUUAAACGGCUUCUCGGCUGAAUGUUCACCCGUCCCCGUGGCAAAAUUCAUAGCGGCCGUAAAGACCUCCCCAAAGCUUUAGGCGCCAUUUAAAACAGGCCGGCCUCUUCCUCACCGGCCAUGUCGUGAAAAAGGAAAUGGCUCCAAUAAAACUUUGUGUUUUGUUGCAGUACAUGACCUGCUUUUAAGCUUUCUUCACAACUACUAGCGAGAAAAACAUUUUUUUUCUAACCGUUUUUUUCACCACCAUCUACAAGCCGCUUGGAGGGGCUUAUUGAGUAAAUACAUUCAUAAGUACAUUUACAGAUACUAUGCUCUGUUUCUAAGUGACAAGGUAACCUUCCAAAAUAAUCAGGCUGUUAAUACAUGCUACUGUGUUAUCAUAAUUGCUGGACAAACUGAUCAGUAUACAUCUGGAGUACAUUAAUAAAAUGAUUUCUGCUCUCACCCUGAUAAUAACAUACUGCUUUUUAUAUUCCACCCCAGCCAAAUCCGUUAGAUCGGUGUUUAUAGACUGGAAUAUCUGUUUCUAAAUUACUCCAAGGAGGAGCAUCAUCUAAGAGUGAUUAAUCACGAUUAAUUAAUCAGCCUCCCCACAGUUUCUGUGCUGUCAUAACAAAAUGCCAUGGCUCGAGGUUAGCUUUGAAGAACCACAAAGUGGGUAAUGAUGAAUUUAU